rnacentral:rRNA from 1 species
UGAGUUUGAUCCUGGCUCAGGACGAACGCUGGCGGCGUGCUUAACACAUGCAAGUCAAGGGGGCCCAGCAAUGGGCAACCGGCGAACGGGUGCGUAACACGUGAGCAACCUUCCGAAAUAUGGGGGAUAGCCGGCCUAACGGCCGAGUAAUACCGCAUACGCUCUCGAUGAGGCAUUUCAUUGAGAGGAAACCUACGGGGUAUUUUGAGGGGCUCGCGGCCUAUCAGCUAGUUGGCGAGGUAACGGCUCACCAAGGCAACGACGGGUAGCUGGUCUGAGAGGAUGGCCAGCCACAUUGGGACUGAGAUACGGCCCAGACUCCUACGGGAGGCAGCAGUGGGGAAUCUUGCGCAAUGGCCUAACGGCUGACGCAGCGACGCCGCGUGUGGGAUGAAGCUCUUCGGAGUGUAAACCACUGUUGCCCGGGACGAAUGGCUCGAUUAAUCGAGCCUGACAGUACCGGGUGAGGAAGCACCGGCUAACUCCGUGCCAGCAGCCGCGGUAAUACGGGGGGUGCGAGCGUUGUCCGGAAUCACUGGGCGUAAAGGGCGCGUAGGUGGUUUGAUAAGGGUGUGGUGAAAGUCCGGGGCUCAACCCCGGAUCUGCCGUGCCGACUGUCAAACUCGAGGACUGUAGAGGCAGACGGAAUUCCGGGUGUAGCGGUGGAAUGCGUAGAGAUCCGGAGGAAGACCGGUGGCGAAGGCGGUCUGCUGGGCAGUUUCUGACACUGAGGC